rnacentral:rRNA from 1 species
UUCGACACACUAUCAUUAACUGAAUCCAUAGGUUAAUGAGGCGAACCGGGGGAACUGAAACAUCUAAGUACCCCGAGGAAAAGAAAUCAACCGAGAUUCCCCCAGUAGCGGCGAGCGAACGGGGAGCAGCCCAGAGCCUGAAUCAGUGUGUGUGUUAGUGGAAGCGUCUGGAAAGGCGCGCGAUACAGGGUGACAGCCCCGUACACAAAAAUGCACAUACUGUGAGCUCGAUGAGUAGGGCGGGACACGUGGUAUCCUGUCUGAAUAUGGGGGGACCAUCCUCCAAGGCUAAAUACUCCUGACUGACCGAUAGUGAACCAGUACCGUGAGGGAAAGGCGAAAAGAACCCCGGCGAGGGGAGUGAAAAAGAACCUGAAACCGUGUACGUACAAGCAGUGGGAGCACGCUUAGGCGUGUGACUGCGUACCUUUUGUAUAAUGGGUCAGCGACUUAUAUUCUGUAGCAAGGUUAACCGAAUAGGGGAGCCGAAGGGAAACCGAGUCUUAACUGGGCGUUAAGUUGCAGGGUAUAGACCCGAAACCCGGUGAUCUAGCCAUGGGCAGGUUGAAGGUUGGGUAACACUAACUGGAGGACCGAACCGACUAAUGUUGAAAAAUUAGCGGAUGACUUGUGGCUGGGGGUGAAAGGCCAAUCAAACCGGGAGAUAGCUGGUUCUCCCCGAAAGCUAUUUAGGUAGCGCCUCGUGAAUUCAUCUCCGGGGGUAGAGCACUGUUUCGGCAAGGGGGUCAUCCCGACUUACCAACCCGAUGCAAACUGCGAAUACCGGAGAAUGUUAUCACGGGAGACACACGGCGGGUGCUAACGUCCGUCGUGAAGAGGGAAACAACCCAGACCGCCAGCUAAGGUCCCAAAGUCAUGGUUAAGUGGGAAACGAUGUGGGAAGGCCCAGACAGCCAGGAUGUUGGCUUAGAAGCAGCCAUCAUUUAAAGAAAGCGUAAUAGCUCACUGGUCGAGUCGGCCUGCGCGGAAGAUGUAACGGGGCUAAACCAUGCACCGAAGCUGCGGCAGCGACGCUGAUGCGUUGUUGGGUAGGGGAGCGUUCUGUAAGCCUGUGAAGGUGUGCUGUGAGGCAUGCUGGAGGUAUCAGAAGUGCGAAUGCUGACAUAAGUAACGAUAAAGCGGGUGAAAAGCCCGCUCGCCGGAAGACCAAGGGUUCCUGUCCAAC